GUGUCAGCCGCCGCGGUAAUACGGAGGGUGCAAGCGUUAAUCGGAAUUACUGGGCGUAAAGCGCACGCAGGCGGUCAAUUAAGUCAGAUGUGAAAGCCCCGAGCUUAACUUGGGAAUUGCAUCUGAAACUGGUUGGCUAGAGUCUUGUAGAGGUGGGUAGAAUUCCAUGUGUAGCGGUGAAAUGCGUAGAGAUGAGGAGGAAUACCGGUGGCGAAGGCGGCCCCCUGGACAAAGACUGACGCUCAGGUGCGAAAGCGUGUGGAGCAAUCAGGAUUAGAUCCCCUGGUAUUCCACGCUGUAAAAGAUGUCGAUUUAUAGGUGGUGGUCUUGAACCGUGGCUGCUGUAGCUAACGCGUUAAAUCGACCGCCUGGGGAGUACGGCCGCAAGGUUAAAACUCAAAUGAAUUGGCGGGG
rnacentral:rRNA from 1 species